AGAAGGUUGAUGGUGGCUGCGGCUGGCAGGGCUCCUGUGCCGUGCUGCCCAGCUCAGGGAGCCCCUGGGAGAAGCAGCUGAUGGGCAAGGUGCUGGGCUGCCCAGGAGAUGGCAGCAGCUUUCCACAGCCCUGGCUGAGGACGCGGGCACUGGUCUGGGUAUCCUGGCUGCAGCAGGGCUUGGGCCAGGUGGACCUGAGGAUCCCUUCUACCUCUACCAGUUCGGGGUUCUGCGGUUCCAGCUAGGCACCAGUGUGCACUGACAGCCCUGGGGAAGGAGAGCAGAGUCAGAGGAAUAUGGCAGAGAUAGGACAUGGCUGCAGCCAGGAAUGUGACCUCUGGUGCAAUGUGGAAGGGGAGAGGAUGUAUCCUAUAGGAGUGGUUUAAUCAUCACUUUCUACUGGCAUUUGGAGAUUUCCUAUUUAAUCAGUAAUGAAAGUGCCUGGCAAUUAAUUCAGUAGGGCUCUCAGUGCCCUGAGCGCUGCAGUGUUGGUUCUGCUCUGACCUUCCUCACUUUCAUUCCUUUUUGAGGAGUAAUAAAGUUGCUGUGAUUAAUUGCAAAA